AUACUGUCAUAUUGCUAGACAUAUACAGGUGUUAGACAUGAGGCGCAUCAAACGCACGGCUAGGCGAUCGAUAGGUCCUAUGACUGAUGCGGGACCUAGCCAGACCCAGGCUACAACGGGUCCCUCUAGUGAUUCACAGGGUGCGAUAAAAAAGAGAGGCCACACACGAUGCCUCGAAGUUUGGAAGAUGCGUGAAGGACAACGCAUUACUAUUCCCAUCAAUACUAAAGGACAACCCGUUGGUGACAAUGUUAACAAGUUGACAAACUUCCUAGGGACUAUAGCACGCAAUGGGGAAUAUGCACCCCUUACAUUUACUGAUUGGAGGGCAGUGCCGAAUGAGAAGAAGGAUGAUAUGUUAGGACUUGUUAUGUCUAAGUUUGAGUUUGACGCGGAUGCAAAGAAGUGGGUGUUACAAUCAAUUGGUAGAAAAUGGAAGGACUGGAAAGGUGAACUGAAAAAACUCUACUAUUCUCCUCAUGAGACUGACGAGGAGCGGCUUGCGAACCUUGAUGAGCGGGUCAAAGAGGAUUAGUGGAAGGCACUCAUUCAGUUUUGGAACUCUAAAGAAGGGAAUGCUCGUAGUAAGACAAGUUUAGAGAAUCGAAAAAGACAAUUAAUCGGCCACGCUGCAGGCUCAAAGAGCUUUGCACGGAUACGUGAGGAAGAGAGGAAGAAAACGGCUAGUGGCGAGGAUCCAAGCCGGGCAGAUGUGUUUAUAUUGACCCAUACGUGCAAGAGUGGUAGGCCUGUGGAUGAGGCUUCAUUAAGAGUAAUGGAACAACUUAAUGAACAAAUUUCUCAGCAGCCCGAUACCUCACAGAAUAGCACAGGAAGGAAUGACUUGUUCUCUCAAGUAAUGGGAGAAGAUCGACAUGGCCGAGUCCGCACUUAUGGGUUAGGCCCCACUCCUACUGAUUUGUGGGGAACAACACGUAGCCAACGAAGGAUUGCCUCCGCUGCUCAGAGUAGAAAUGAAGAAUAUGAAGGACUGCAGAUUGAAGUAUCAUCCCUAAAAUCGGAAGUUUCAUCCCUAAAAUCGGAAGUAUCAUCCCUAAAAUCAGAUUUUUCAUCUUUUAAAGAAUCCAUGGCGCAGCUGAUAUCCUCUAGGACAAAUCUGAAAUCCACAGUAUCAGAUAAUUCAGCUAAUCUCAACCUAAACCAACCGGCCUCAUCAUCAAGCUAGGGACACUUAGCGAAAAAGGGAAAGACUACGACUUGCAGUAGUACCGGGGUAAAUUUUCACACAAAUCAAAUAGUUCUUUUAUUAUGUUUUGAGAUUAUUGUGUUCUUAAUUAGAUGUGGUAUACAAAUGAUGCAAUGUAUUGUGUUAAAUAGUAACUUUUAUUUGUAGGACGUAAUCGAAGUUCUUCUUACUAGUAUCCGUGGGGUUACUGUCGCUAGAGGGAUUGUCUUGACUAAGGAUCCGCUCACAAAAGUAGGUGGGUUCCCACUUGGAAAUGGUUUUUGGGAAGUAUAUAUUCAGGUGGCAAUUGUACGUGAAGAGACUUUGAUGAGACCCUAUGGACGGUACAGAACAAUUGGGGAUGCGGCUGGAACGAGUAUUUGUUGGCCUGAUUGUUGU